UAAUUUUUUUUUUAGUUUUUUAAUGAUAUGGGGUCCUAUUAUGGUUGUGAGUCUAAUUCCCUCAAAUCAGGUGUGUGUAUCUGUUCGAGUGCAUUGCAUUGAACUUACAAUUUGAGGUUUGUGUGGAUCCUAAUAGAGGUUAAUGAAAGAUCGUCUAGUUCUCGAGCUAACAACAAAGCCUAUUCAACAUAAAGAUUCAAUCUUUAUGCCCUAUUUCAUAUAGAGAUCGAAUCUUUCAACAAGUAGAAGUGAGAUUCGAGUGUUUGAGACUUGUUAUUGAUUUUACUAUCCACAAACACAUCAUUUGCUUUAUAAUUUUUUUUUUAGUUUUUUAAUGAUAUGGGGGUCCUAUUAUGGUUGUGAGUCUAAUUCCCUCAAAUCAGGUGUGUGUUUGUUCGAGUGCAUUGCAUUGAACUUACAAAUUGAGGUUUGUGUGGAUCCUAAUAGAGGUUAAUGAAAGAUGUCUAGUUCUCGAGCUAACAACAAAGCCUAUUCAACAUAAAGAUUCAAUCUUUAUGCCCUAUUUCAUAUAGAGAUCGAAUCUUUCAACAAGUAGAAGUGAGAUUCGAGUGUUUUGAGACUUGUUAUUGAUUUUACUAUCCACAAACACAUCAUUUGCUUUAUAAUUUUUUUUUUUGUUUUUAAUGAUAUGGGGGUCCUAUUAUGGUUGUGAGUCUAAUUCCCUCAAAUCAGGUGUGUGUGUGUUCGAGUGCAUUGCAUUGAACUUACAAAUUGAGGUUUGUGUGGAUCCUAAUAGAGGUUAAUGAAAGAUCGUCUAGUUCUCGAGCUAACAACAAAGCCUAUUCAACAUAAAGAUUCAAUCUUUAUGCCCUAUUUCAUAUAAAGAUCGAAUCUUUCAACAAGUAGAAGUGAGAUUCGAGUGUUUUGAGACUUGUUAUUGAUUUUACUAUCCACAAACACAUCAUUUGCUUUAUAAUUUUUUUUUUGUUUUUUAAUGAUAUGGGGGUCCUAUUAUGGUUGUGAGUCUAAUUCCCUCAAAUCAGGUGUGUGUGUGUUCGAGUGCAUUGCAUUGAACUUACAAAUUGAGGUUUGUGUGGAUCCUAAUAGAGGUUAAUGAAAGAUCGUCUAGUUCUCGAGCUAACAACAAAGCCUAUUCAAUAUAAAGAUUCAAUCUUUAUGCCCUAUUUCAUAUAGAGAUCGAAUCUUUCAACAAGUAGAAGUGAGAUUCGAGUUUUUGAGACUUGUUAUUGAUUUUACUAUCCACAAACACAUCAUUUGCUUUAUAAUUUUUUUUUAGUUUUUUAAUGAUAUGGGGGUCCUAUUAUGGUUGUGAGUCUAAUUCCCUCAAAUCAGGUGUGUGUGUGUUCGAGUGCAUUGCAUUGAACUUACAAAUUGAGGUUUGUGUGGAUCCUAAUAAAGGUUAAUGAAAGAUCCUCUAGUUCUCGAGCUAACAACAAAGCCUAUUCAAUAUAAAGAUUCAAUCUUUAUGCCCUAUUCAUAUAAAGAUCGAAUUUUCAACAAGUAGAAGUGAGAUUCGAGUGUUUUGAGACUUGUUAUUGAUUUUACUAUCCACAAACACAUCAUUUGCUUUAUAAUUUUUUUUUUUAGUUUUUUAAUGAUAUGGGGGUCCUAUUAUGGUUGUGAGUCUAAUUCCCUCAAAUCAGGUGUGUGUUUGUUCGAGUGCAUUGCAUUGAACUUACAAAUUGAGGUUUGUGUGGAUCCUAAUAGAGGUUAAUGAAAGAUCGUCUAGUUCUCGAGCUAACAACAAAGCCUAUUCAACAUAAAGAUUCAAUCUUUAUGCCCUAUUUCAUAUAGAGAUCGAAUCUUUCAACAAGUAGAAGUGAGAUUCGAGUGUUUUGAGACUUGUUAUUGAUUUUACUAUCCACAAACACAUCAUUUGUUUAAAUUUUUUUUUUAGUUUUUUAAUGAUAUGGGGGUCCUAUUAUGUUGUGAGUCUAAUUCCCUCAAAUCAGGUGUGUGUGUGUAUUUU